rnacentral:rRNA from 1 species
AUUGAACGCUGGCGGCAUGCCUUACACAUGCAAGUCGAACGGCAGCACGGGAGCAAUCCUGGUGGCGAGUGGCGAACGGGUGAGUAAUAUAUCGGAACGUGCCCAGUCGUGGGGAUAACGUAGCGAAAGCUACGCUAAUACCGCAUACGAUCUAUGGAUGAAAGCGGGGGAUCGCAAGACCUCGCGCGAUUGGAGCGGCCGAUAUCAGAUUAGGUAGUUGGUGAGGUAAAGGCUCGCCAAGCCGACGAUCUGUAGCUGGUCUGAGAGGACGACCAGCCACACUGGGACUGAGACACGGGCCCCAGACUCCUACGGGAGGCAGCAGUGGGGGAAUUUUUGGACAAUGGGCGCAAGCCUGAUCCAGCAAUGCCGCGUGCAGGAUGAAGGCCU